rnacentral:rRNA from 1 species
CUUUGUAGCAUUACAGAGGCUGGCGACCGGCAAACGGGUGCGGAACACGUACAGAACCUUCCUUCGAGCGGGGAAUAGCCCAGAGAAAUUUGGAUUAAUACCCCAUAGUAUUACAGAGUGGCAUCACUUUGUAAUUAAAGAUUUAUCACUUGAAGAUGGCUGUGCGGCUGAUUAGAUAGUUGGCGGGGUAACGGCCCACCAAGUCUGCGAUCAGUAACUGGUGUGAGAGCACGACCAGUCACACGGGCACUGAGACACGGGCCCGACUCCUACGGGAGGCAGCAGUAAGGAAUAUUGGUCAAUGGACGCAAGUCUGAACCAGCCAUGCCGCGUGGAGGAUGAAGGUCCUCUGGAUUGUAAACUUCUUUUAUAUGGGACGAAAAAGGGUCUUUCUAGAUCAACUGACGGUACCAUAUGAAUAAGCACCGGCUAACUCCGUGCCAGCAGCCGCGGUAAUACGGAGGGUGCAAGCGUUAUCCGGAUUCACUGGGUUUAAAGGGUGCGUAGGUGGGUUGGUAAGUCAGUGGUGAAAUCCCCGAGCUUAACUUGGGAACUGCCAUUGAUACUAUUAAUCUUGAAUACUGUGGAGGUCAGCGGAAUAUGUCAUGUAGCGGUGAAAUGCUUAGAUAUGACAUAGAACACCAAUUGCGAAGGCAGCUGGCUACACAAAUAUUGACACUGAGGCACGAAAGCGUGGGGAUCAAACAGGAUUAGAUACCCUGGUAGUCCACGCCCUAAACUAUGGAUACUCGACAUACGCGAUACACAGUGUGUGUCUGAGCGAAAGCAUUAAGUAUCCCACCUGGGAAGUACGAUCGCAAGAUUGAAACUCAAAGGAGU